UGAGGAAUAUUGGGCAAUGCCCGCAAGGGUGACCCAGCAACGCCGCGUGGAGGAUGAAUGUCGUAAGAUUGUAAACUCCUGUUAGAGGGGAAGAAUAGUACCGGUUGGACCGGUAUAUGACUGUACCCUCAGAGAAAGCCCCGGCUAACUACGUGCCAGCAGCCGCGGUAAUACGUAGGGGGCAAGCGUUGUCCGGAUUUACUGGGUGUAAAGGGCGCGCAGGCGGGAUAAAAAGUCAGUGGUGAAAUCCUACAGCUUAACUGUAGAUAUGCCUUGGAUACUUUGAUUCUUGAGUUCGGGAGAGAGAGACGGAAUUCCAGGUGUAGUGGUGAAAUACGUAGAUAUCUGGAAGAACACCAGUUGCGAAGGCGGUCUCUUGGUCCGACACUGACGCUGAGGCGCGAAAGCGUGGGGAGCAAAC
rnacentral:rRNA from 1 species